AACGAACGCUGGCGGCGUGGAUAAGACAUGCAAGUCGAACGAUUACUGUUGGGUAGCAAUAUUCGGCAGUGAGAGUGGCGCAAGGGUGCGUAACACGUGGGCAAUUUGCCGCGAAGUCUGGAAUAACUUGCUGAAAGGCGAGCUAAUACCGGAUGUGAUUCUUGGGAGGCAUCUCCUGGGAUUUAAAGUCGGGGACCGCAAGGCCUGACGCUUCUCGAUAAACCCGCGGCCUAUCAGCUAGUUGGUGAGGUAACGGCUCACCAAGGCAAAGACGGGUAGCUGGUCUGAGAGGACGACCAGCCACACUGGAACUGAGACACGGUCCAGACACCUACGGGUGGCAG
rnacentral:rRNA from 1 species